AGUGAACGCUGGCGGUAGGCCUAACACAUGCAAGUCGAACGGCAGCACAGUAAGAGCUUGCUCUUACGGGUGGCGAGUGGCGGACGGGUGAGGAAUACAUCGGCAUCUACUUUUUCGUGGGGGAUAACGUAGGGAAACUUACGCUAAUACCGCAUACGACCUACGGGUGAAAGCAGGGGAUCUUCGGACCUUGCGCGAUUGAAUGAGCGGAUGUCGGAUUAGUUAGUUGGCGGGGUAAAGGCCCACCAAGCCGACGAUCCGUAGCUGGUCUGAGAGGAUGAUCAGGCACACUGGAACGGAGACACGAUCCAGACCACAAUGGGAGGCAGCGGUGGGGAAUAGUGGACAAUGGGCGCAAGCCGGAUCCAGCCAAGCCGCGUGGGUGAAGAAGGCCUGCGGGUUGUAAAGCUCUUUUGUUGGGAAAGAAAAGCAGCAGGUUAAUACCCCGCUGUUCUGACGGUACCCAAAGAAUAAGCACCGGCUAACUUCGUG
rnacentral:rRNA from 1 species